GCAAGUCGAACGGUAACAUUUCUAGCUUGCUAGAAGAUGACGAGUGGCGGACGGGUGAGUAAUGCUUGGGAACUUGCCUUUACGAGGGGGAUAACAGUUGGAAACGACUGCUAAUACCGCAUAAUGUCUUCGGACCAAACGGGGCUUCGGCUCCGGCGCAAAGAGAGGCCCAAGUGAGAUUAGCUAGUUGGUAAGGUAACGGCUUACCAAGGCGACGAUCUCUAGCUGUUCUGAGAGGAAGAUCAGCCACACUGGGACUGAGACACGGCCCAGACUCCUACGGGAGGCAGCAGUGGGGAAUAUUGCACAAUGGGGGAAACCCUGAUGCAGCCAUGCCGCGUGUGUGAAGAAGGCCUUCGGGUUGUAAAGCACUUUCAGUUGUGAGGAAAAGUUAGUAGUUAAUACCUGCUAGCCGUGACGUUAACAACAGAAGAAGCACCGGCUAACUCCGUGCCAGCAGCCGCGGUAAUACGGAGGGUGCGAGCGUUAAUCGGAAUUACUGGGCGUAAAGCGCACGCAGGCGGUUUGUUAAGCUAGAUGUGAAAGCCCCGGGC
rnacentral:rRNA from 1 species